CCGACGGUGAGGGGUGAAAGCUGGUGGCACGAACCGGAUUAGAUACCCGGGUAGUCCCAGCCGUAAACGAUGCUCGCUAGGUGUCUGGGAUGGUGCGACCGUUUCAGGUGCCGCAGGGAAGCCGUGAAGCGAGCCACCUGGGAAGUACGGCCGCAAGGCUGAAACUUAAAGGAAUUGGCGGGGGAGCACUACAACGGGUGGAGCCUGCGGUUUAAUUGGACUCAACGCCGGAAAACUCACCUGGGGC
rnacentral:rRNA from 1 species